rnacentral:rRNA from 1 species
UACGUAGGGGGCUAGCGUUGUCCGGAUUUAUUGGGCGUAAAGAGCGUGUAGGCGGUUGAGCAAGUCUGCUGUGAAAUCUCCUGGCUCAACCAGGAAGGGUCAGUGGAAACUGCUUAACUUGAGGACGGUAGAGGGGGGUGGAAUUCCCGGUGUAGUGGUGAAAUGCGUAGAGAUCGGGAGGAACACCAGCGGCGAAGGCGGCCCCCUGGGCCGCUCCUGACGCUGAGACGCGAAGGCCAGGGUAGCGAACGGG